UGGGGUAUGGCUCAAGUGGUAGAGUGCUUGCCUAGAAAGCAGAUGGUCCUGAGUUCAAGUCAUAAUACCUCUA
rnacentral:tRNA from 1 species